rnacentral:rRNA from 1 species
AAUCUUCCGCAAUGGACGAAAGUCUGACGGAGCAACGCCGCGUGAACGAUGAAGGUCUUCGGAUCGUAAAGUUCUGUUGUUAGGGAAGAACAAGUACCGGAGUAACUGCCGGUACCUUGACGGUACCUAAUUAGAAAGCCACGGCUAACUACGUGCCAGCAGCCGCGGUAAUACGUAGGUGGCAAGCGUUGUCCGGAAUUAUUGGGCGUAAAGCGCGCGCAGGCGGUUCUUUAAGUCUGAUGUGAAAUCCCACGGCUCAACCGUGGAUGGUCAUUGGAAACUGGAGGACUUGAGUGCAGAAGAGGAGAGUGGAAUUCCAUGUGUAGCGGUGAAAUGCGUAGAGAUAUGGAGGAACACCAGUGGCGAAGGCGACCACCUGGGCUAAUACUGACUCUGAGGUGCGAAAGCGUGGGGAGCAAACA